rnacentral:tRNA from 1 species
CCGCCGUAGUUCAAUGGAUAGAACGGCCGCGCCUCUAAGCGGCAGAUAGCAGGUUCGACUCCUGUCGGUGUACCA